rnacentral:rRNA from 1 species
UACGUAGGUGGCAAGCGUUGUCCGGAUUUACUGGGCGUAAAGCGCGUGUAGGCGGUCCUGUAGGUCCGUUGUGAAAACUCGAGGCUCAACCUCGAGACGCCGAUGGAAACCAUCUGACUAGAGUCCGGAAGAGGAGAGUGGAAUUCCUGGUGUAGCGGUGAAAUGCGCAGAUAUCAGGAAGAACACCCGUGGCUAAGGCGGCUCUCUGGACCGUAACUGACGCUGAGACACGAAAGCGUGGGGAGCAAACAGG